UACGUAGGGCGCGAGCGUUGUCCGGAAUUAUUGGGCGUAAAGAGCUCGUAGGCGGUUUGUCGCGUCUGCUGUGAAAACGCGAGGCUCAACCUCGCGCCUGCAGUGGGUACGGGCAGACUAGAGUGCGGUAGGGGAGAUUGGAAUUCCUGGUGUAGCGGUGGAAUGCGCAGAUAUCAGGAGGAACACCGAUGGCGAAGGCAGAUCUCUGGGCCGUUACUGACGCUGAGGAGCGAAAGCGUGGGGAGCGAACAGG
rnacentral:rRNA from 1 species